rfam:Schistosoma curassoni strain Dakar, Senegal genome assembly, scaffold: SCTD_scaffold0000516
AUCUAUCUGAUGAGUUCCAAGUAGGACGAAAUGUGCAUUUUGGAU